ensembl:piRNA 21ur-3785 ncRNA
UGACAAUUUGGAUUGCUCAAU